UAUUAUUCACAACGGAUAUCUCGACUCUCGCAUUGAUGAAGAACGUAGCGAAAUGCGAUACUUGGUGUGAAUAAUUGUAGGAUUCUGCGAACCACCGAGUCUUUGAACGCAAGUUGCGCCCGGAGCCUUCUGGCCGAUGGCACGUUUGCUUGGACGUCA